UGCAAGUCGAGCGGUAGCACAGAGAGCUUGCUCUCGGGUGACGAGCGGCGGACGGGUGAGUAAUGUCUGGGAAACUGCCUGAUGGAGGGGGAUAACUACUGGAAACGGUAGCUAAUACCGCAUAACGUCGCAAGACCAAAGUGGGGGACCUUCGGGCCUCAUGCCAUCAGAUGUGCCCAGAUGGGAUUAGCUAGUAGGUGGGGUAACGGCUCACCUAGGCGACGAUCCCUAGCUGGUCUGAGAGGAUGACCAGCCACACUGGAACUGAGACACGGUCCAGACUCCUACGGGAGGCAGCAGUGGGGAAUAUUGCACAAUGGGCGCAAGCCUGAUGCAGCCAUGCCGCGUGUGUGAAGAAGGCCUUCGGGUUGUAAAGCACUUUCAGCGGGGAGGAAGGCGAUAAGGUUAAUAACCUUGUCGAUUGACGUUACCCGCAGAAGAAGCACCGGCUAACUCCGUGCCAGCAGCCGCGGUAAUACGGAGGGUGCAAGCGUUAAUCGGAAUUACUGGGCGUAAAGCGCACGCAGGCGGUCUGUCAAGUCGGAUGUGAAAUCCCCGGGCUCAACCUGGGAACUGCAUUCGAAACUGGCAGGCUAGAGUCUUGUAGAGGGGGGUAGAAUUCCAGGUGUAGCGGUGAAAUGCGUAGAGAUCUGGAGGAAUACCGGUGGCGAAGGCGGCCCCCUGGACAAAGACUGACGCUCAGGUGCGAAAGCGUGGGGAGCAAACAGGAUUAGAUACCCUGGUAGUCCACGCCGUAAACGAUGUCGAUUUGGAGGUUGUGCCCUUGAGGCGUGGCUUCCGGAGCUAACGCGUUAAAUCGACCGCCUGGGGAGUACGGCCGCAAGGUUAAAACUCAAAUGAAUUGACGGGGGCCCGCACAAGCGGUGGAGCAUGUGGUUUAAUUCGAUGCAACGCGAAGAACCUUACCUGGUCUUGACAUCCACAGAACUUACGCAGAGAUGCUUUGGUGCCUUCGGGAACUGUGAGACAGGUGCUGCAUGGCUGUCGUCAGCUCGUGUUGUGAAAUGU
rnacentral:rRNA from 1 species